rnacentral:rRNA from 1 species
UACAGAGGGGGCAAGCGUUGUUCGGAAUUACUGGGCGUAAAGGGCGCGUAGGCGGCCUUCUAAGUCGGACGUGAAAUCCCCGGGCUCAACCCGGGAACUGCGUCCGAUACUGGGAGGCUUGAAUCCGGGAGAGGGAUGUGGAAUUCCAGGUGUAGCGGUGAAAUGCGUAGAUAUCUGGAGGAACAUCGGUGGCGAAGGCGGCAUCCUGGACCGGUAUUGACGCUGAGGCGCGAAAGCCAGGGGAGCAAACAGG